UCCGUCAGAUCAAGUGGCACAAGCUACUGCUUUUGGUCGAGAGAAACCUCCAAAUUCCAGCAGAGACAGACUCUUCACUCAGUUACAUGCCUGAAACAUGUGCUUCUGUAUGAGGAUGAGCCCUGCAGAGUUUGUUCAGUUUAAUCAACUUAUUUUAAAUACAGCACCCAGCAAAUGAUCUCAUCUGCCAGAGCAACAUCGACUGGGUGUUCAGAAUCCUUACCAGGCGAAGUACAGAAAAAUGUGUGCAGCUGUAGCCUAGAGAGACCAGUUCAUCAACGUACUUCUUGAAUUGUGCACACCACAACUGGAAACAAUAUUGCAGAAGAGGUCACAUCAGUGCCAAAUACAGAGAUCGGAGCUUUCUUAUUGUGACAGAUGACAGAACUUAUAGGAUCUAAACCUAUUUAAAUGAAGAUGCCAAGAACAGCCACAGAAACAGCUUUUACUCCUACAUGCCAUUUUCCAAAUGUUGAUACAUUCCGUGCGACUCGUACAACACGUACAAGAGUGCCAUCUAAUGCUGUUUGGAAAAACUAUUGGUCUUGGAUUUGCUAUAGUAUAAUGCCAAUAAGACAAAAGCAGAAUUCGUUUUUAAGACAAUGCCCUGAAAGGAAUUCUCUUUAAUUUCAUUAUGCUAGUGCUGUUUAAUCCCCUGCUGGUUUGUGUAUUAGGAAGUAAGCAAAAGUGUUUUUUUUAAUGAUAACUCUGACUAGAAGUCUCUUAACAAAGCAUUCUGCAAAGUUGCAUUAUAUAAUAUGAUAAACAUCAACCUUGAAACAUGUAUUUUUGUAUUACGAAUGUAUGCUUACACUUAUCAGAUAACUGACCAUUCAUACCAAUUUCAAAUUCUUAUCUGACCUAGUUUCUAAACACGACGACCAAUACAGAUGGCAGUGCAUGCCAUGACAAUGUCAAACCCAAAGCCCAUUUACAUCAAUAGGAAUCUUCACAUUGACUUCAGUGGUUCUAAACCUGGGGUACAUGUAUCCGUGGGGAAACACACGGAGUUCUUCCAGGGGUACAUCAACUCAUCUAGAUAUUUGCC